UACGUAGGGGGCAAGCGUUGUCCGGAAUCAUUGGGCGUAAAGAGCGCGCAGGCGGUCGUUCAAGUCGAGUGUGAAAGCCCCCGGCUCAACUGGGGAGGGUCACUCGAUACUGAUCGACUCGAAGGCAGGAGAGGGAAGCGGAAUUCCCGGUGUAGUGGUGAAAUGCGUAGAUAUCGGGAGGAACACCAGUGGCGAAGGCGG
rnacentral:rRNA from 1 species